rnacentral:rRNA from 1 species
AUACCAGCUCUCCGAGUGGUGUGGAUGUUUAUUGGGCCUAAAGCAUCCGUAGCUGGCUACGUUAGUCCCCUGUUAAAUCCAACGACUUAAUCGUUGGGUCGCGGGGGAUACUGCUUGGCUAGGGGACGAGAGAGGCAGACGGUAUUUCCGGGGUAGGGGUGAAAUCCUAUAAUCCCGGGAAGACCACCAGUGGCGAAGGCUGUCUGCUAGAACGCGCCCGACGGUGAGGGAUGAAAGCUGGGGGAGCGAACCGGAUUAGAUACCCGGGUAGUCCCAGCUGUAAACGAUGCAGGCUAGGUGUUUGGACGGCCACGUGCCGUUCUAGUGCCGCAGGGAAGCUGUUAAGCCUGCCGCCUGGGGAGUACGAUCGCAAGAUUGAA